GUAAACCCCUGUCAGGUGGGACGAACCACGGAUCGGNNAAUACCCGGUCCGCCUGACGGUACCACCAGAGGAAGCUCCGGCUAACUCCGUGCCAGCAGCCGCGGUAAUACGGAGGGAGCNAGCGUUGUUCGGAAUUACUGGGCGUAAAGGGCGCGUAGGCGGUCGGGUAAGUCGNGUGUGAAAUUCCGGGGCUCAACCCCGCGAACUGCAU
rnacentral:rRNA from 1 species